GCCGAUCUUCGUUGUGAUGAACCAGGGCAAGGGAAGCAAAACCCUUGGGACGAUACUUAAGAUACGCAUUUGGACGCUACGCCAGCACAUUACAGUAUCCAGAAAACCCGGAAGUGGGUAAACCCGAAACGGUGGUAAAGCUGCUGAACCUGGGAUCGGUCGUUUUGUUCAGUAGGUUUAAAAGAACCGACCAUUGCGUGCCCGUGCAAAUCUAUGGCAGAAGAACCGGUUCGAUGGUACUUUUCGACGACAGAGCUCUGCCGAUCCAUGAUAGACGGACACUUUGUUUUGACAGAAUGUCUCUUUCGGAAACGAGUAAACAGAGCAAUCACAAGCCCUCCUUUUCCGUGCACCAACCGUGCCCCACUAGGAAUCACAAUUCGUUUGAUUGGCCUGAUUUCUUCGAGGAUAACGAUCGAUCACCAUGCUUACAAAGCAGUCGGAUCUGCGGCCACUCUAUCCCAGCAGAUCCACGUAUAUUUCUCGGAAUAGCCUUGUCCUUAAAGCGGGCAAUUCAUAAAAUGUUUAUGUAGUAUAAAUUACGAUUAUAAAACAUAAAAAUAUGUGUAUUUAAA